UGUCACUCAAAUCACGGCGGGCACUCUACAACUCAGAAAUGAUGUCAGAAAUAUUCACGACUCAGCUCUCACUUCAAGAGCACGCGCCAUAUAUGCAUUAGUUAUCUAUUUCGGAAAAUGAAACUCCCAGAAGGGAACACUAAAAAGUACUACAUACUCUCAGGUAAUAUUUCAUCACACGACACCUGGGAGCUUCUAUCUUUGGGCAAAAGCUACUCUCUGUGCCUACGAAAUUCCGCGUUUCCAAGCGCCCCGUGCAUCAUAUACUAUCCAGGAGUCUGAAAUAACUACAGUUGAAUAUUUGUAAUGCACUGAAAAAAUACUUUGAUAAUAAGUUGUAGGGAAUGAAGCCUUGUAAACGGCAAUUCGAGUGUGGCAUCUCUUUAUCCUUCGUGAGAAGUUGGGUGAAAAAGCGAUGAAUCACCGCGAAGACUUUGUCCUAAGUGUUGCUUUGCGACAGUAGAAGUUCCACCACAAAAUAUUUACCCUUAAUUACUCCGUAUUUUUAGAGGCAAAAAGCACGUUCAACUAUUUCAUCUCACAGUUCGUAAAGCCUGCAUGUACUAAUUAUUACUUUUUUUCUUAUUAAAAAGGUUGCAUAAUUAUUAUAAGGGUAAUAGUUGGCAAAAUAACAAGGUAAUGUACAUUUGUCCACACAAAUCUCAAUAGUCCCAGUGUGUACUUAAUUUACCAAAAACAUAUAUUUGACACAGAUAAAAAAAACACGUUCGUGUGCAUGGAUGGAAAUUAAUCACCCCCAGGAAAGUGAAUGGAACGCAACAAGCAGCACGAAACGUCCGUUUCCCGAAUCCUAGCGUGUCGUGCUAGAGUGAGUUUCUGUGAUGACCUACAAACGCGCCGAGAAGGGCGACUAAAUACGAUUGCGCGAGAAAGAGUCGAAAAGUUCAUCCCAAACAAUUUACUAGGAUUUAAACAGCCUUGGGCGCAUGUGCUGUCGGGGCUAUCGGGCAGGUUUUAAUCGCCGCAAAGAACAAAACGUGAAAGCUCAAAUAUGCUUUCUAUAGCGUUGCAGGCCUACUAGGAAUCUGUUGUUUAACUCUCUAUGCGUGGGGUUUGUUUGUGGCCCUAUGUCCUGUGGAGUCACUGAAUGCCCUGAUUUCCCAUAAUAAAAAUUACACGGGAAACUAUCACGAUUUUAAACUUGCCUAUUCUCUGACUGAUAAUGACUCGAUUCGUUACUAAAUACAUGAGGUGAUAUUGUGUGUUACAGAGCAGGAAAUCGGUCAAACUGGUUACACUGUGCACUCCACUAUCUUGUACUUGUGGUCUUAGUGGAAACUCAUCGUAAAAAUCUCGUUCAAAACCUUGGCUUAUAGUUAUUGCGGUCACAAGAACCCAUAACACAAUAAAUCAAAACACUAACUAAAAGAAAGGCAAACUAUCUGUGUAAGCAUCGCAAAGUAUGCCACUAAUGACGUUUACUUCGUUUUAAUUUGCUUCUCAAGAGUGCAUCUAAACCAUCUCAAGUGAGCAAUGAAAACGGUUGACGUUGGAAACGCAAAAUAAAAAAAAAUACUUGGUAUAUUCUUACAGUGUACAAGACGCAGCCAUUCGCUCGGCGGUACCAGUCAAACGCAAAGGGUUGAAUGACAUGGCAGCAAGCGUUCGGACGCUCUGGAAGCCCGUAGAGAAACUCGCAAGGAACUGACAUUUUAGCGGAAAACAUUCUCCUGUAAUCACUGAGCUUUGAAGGUUUGGAGAGCUAUAAUUGCGCAAGAAUUCGCAUCACUGUACCUUAUUUAUAAUAGUUAUUGGUAAGAUAUACAUGCUUGUGGAAAUAACGGACCAACCAGAGCAUACAUUUAAGUCCAAGACUCGAAAUGCUCACUAGAAUGACUAGAAAUGGCGCCUAAUUCCCAUACGCGUAAUGCCAAACUAAGUACCUGAAUAUUCCGUGCGAUAUUCUGCCAGCUCUGUCAAAUCUCGGAUGGUUUGGUGUGUGUCCUUUGUUGUUGUGUCAAUGUUCUGUGUAUUGACUAAUUGGAGUCGAAAAUGUCAAGGUCUACGAUCCGCUCCGCCUUAGGACUGUAAACUAGCCUGGAGCCAAAACCGCGCACACUGUUAUUCAAUUGUGUUAGUCGCGUUUAAUGAGAGCACUAUGUUGCGUGCGCCUGACGACAGCGUAAGUGACGUCCCGAAGAGCAGUUGAAGGGUAUCUUGCCUUAUUUGUCAACCUGGGCGCCGCGGGAGGACGGUAUAGGGGAAAUAGUAUUUAGCGUAAUUCGCGUAACCAGGUUCCUAAGGGCCAAUACACUACAAACGCAGGUGGACAAUUUGGUCGAGAUUUCCAUGUCAGACGUAGAUUAUUGCUGACUAGAACAUUUCAAAAGACAUUCUACUACUCGACUGGACGUGUUUGAAUUUCUGUUAGUAAAAUAAAAUACCUAUAGUACUAGACUUUUAACUCUACCUACCUAUACAGCCCAUGCUCUGUGCUUUAUUCUCUAUUAGUUAUUGAUCAAAGAUGGAAUUAUGUUGGAUUUAAAUGUCUUACCUUAUUCGCAAGAGCGACGAUUAUCAACCUAUAUUCCUCCAACAAAGGCCUUAUGCACAACUAUCCUCCCCCAGCCGUGCCUAUCUACUAUAUAAAUUCGUGGACACGUAUUACGCCAAACAAAAGACAACUCGAAGCUGAUUGUUUGGGAGUGCAAACCCACUCAAAGCAGCUGUUGUCCUAUGGCCUGACUUAAUUGAGUUAAUUUAAUGUCUUACUUCAUUUUUGCACCUAACUCUGCAUAAAAACAUUUCUUACGCCGGCUAUUGUUUCAACUGUCGGCGAUUUCUAAUUUGGUCUUGUUCUUGUACACGACAAAAAAGGCCAAAAAUUAGUCCAUUGAUUAGUUUAUUAUGUCAUUUGCAUUAGAAAGCAUCUCGCUCUUUGCGAAAAAAGGGCCGUAAUAUCGCGCGCCCUGCCUUUUCCGGUCACCGACGAUGUGUGCCGCAAACCUCAAUCACACACUCAACCAACUCUUGAAGAUCAUCAAGUGUGACGGGCCCUGUACAAUUGCUCUAAAACAGUGCAAACAUUCAAUCGGGUCGGCGAUCGCACAAACGCCAUGAUCAUUGCGUUAAACGCAUGAACAGCUCAUCGAGGAAUUCGCAUUCUCUUCCAACUCUCAAAAACAAUUUAUCAUUAAUGCUAAUGUAGCUCGUCCUCGGUCGUCAACAAAGAGACCCGCCGCGUUUGAAAUUGAGAUAUUAGGCAUUAUUAAGUGCGGCAAUGGGUGGAAAUUACGCCGGUGAAGCAGCCCCAGAACUUGGCAAAGCCCGCCGAUCACUGCUGAGUGGUUUCGCAGAUGAAUUCUGAAGCCUCAAGAGAGUACCGAAAUUUCGGAAAUUGAAAUCACUUUGGACCGUGAGCGACACGCGCUCCGAAUCUCCGCCUGUCUAACAAACAAUAUGAGGCAAAUAGAGAAGCUUAAUCCUCGGUGCUAGGCGCUGGCGAACUGAAUGAGCAAGUAAUUUGGCGUUAUUACGGGAGUCGUGGUCCGUCCGCUGCGCCUUGCACUCAGGACAUGAUUUCUAGCGGCACUAUCGCAAUGGAAUGUCUCGUAACAUUCGUUUAAACAUGAUGACAAAUCUCUACCGCCACCGCAAGAUUGCCUGCUUUAUGAGUCUGGUCAUGGCCUGUUAAAGUGCCGGCGAGUGAUUGCGGCUAGCGCACCGUGGAAUAGCUAAGAUUUAUUAUAUUUUAACAAGAUGCGAUGCAGUUAACAGUGCGCUUUGGUUGAAAUCCCUUUACCCUACAGUUUGUCCUAUAGUGUUUUUAGUUAGAUGAAGGGUUGGUAAAUAUUUGGAUCCUGUAGCAUCCGAUCGCAAACAAUAUCAAACUUGCUUUGAUUGAGUCAAUGACCUAUUUACAGAUCUCUUGAGCGCCUCGAUUCACACCCAUCAAUGGCAAACAGUUAUGAAAGAAAUACGCCCCCUUUGCCCCCCAGCGAAACUAUCAAAUUCGAUUUCCCCUUAGCUUUGGUAUCUUGAUUCGCCACGCGAGCUUAGAUAUUACGUUGUUCUGAGCGAAAUUUCCAGUCCAUUUUGCGAACACUCAUUAAAGAGCAGGCUGAAAAUAGCAAAUUUUUAGAGUUAUCGAAAGUGUAAGCAAAGCCCUAAACAGGUGCUUAGAGAUCCUACAAUCAACAGGCAAACGAAGAAUCCAGAUUAUUAAUACGGCUUUGGAUUUAGUUGAACACCUAACAAUAUUAGAAAAUAAAGACCUCAAGGAUCUUUAAAACUAACACGUCUGAGUUUGGCAUCACCGAGGCGUGACAAUAUGCAAUAGUUGUAGGGCAGCGUCAGUUAUCUGGUUAUACGGAAUCGAAAAGAGUAAUAAUGACGCCCUCCCUUGCUCUAUCUAGAUGCGCACUCUCUCUCGGUGGUUCACUUAGAACUGCAUCUAAGAGAGAUGUGUGGCUUAGUUGAUGUCGUGCCCCAGGGGCCGCCGUGUGUGAUGGCGGGUAAUCAGGCGGUUCUAACGACUUCCACACAAGUCACCCACAGGAGUCACCCAUGGUAGCUCAGGCGAGUAUCACCUCUACAAUUUACAUUCUCCUUUUAAAAGGCUUUAGCUUCUUCGUAAACCAAAUAUGUGCUUGAAUUGCCUAGAAAUGGCUUUCGUACAAAGCGACUAACAAAAAUUUUAAAUCUAACAUGGAAAUGUGAAAAAAAUACAAAUGUGAAAUGAGUAAAGUUUUUUGUUAACGUUAACCUGGAAAUGUGAAAAAACAACAAAAGCAAAUGUAAAAUAAGUAAAAAACGAUUUUAAAAAAUACAUUACGAAUCGGUGCAACCUGGAGUUUUCUUCGAUAACCCAAUUCCUUUUUAGAAUACAUAUGUGAAAUAAAAUAUUUGAAAAAAGUAGAAA